AUGUCAGGCCAUUACCUGUGCAUGUUGAGUAUUUGCUUACUGAACUCAAGCACAUCAGCUUGGGCUGGUUGAAGAAUUUUUACUGAUUUCCAAUAGGACUCAAGUCAAGAAGUAUUUUUUGAAGCUGGUGUUCCUUACCUAGUGAGCUGUUCUCACAUGUUCAUUGAACUAAUCUGUCUGUCUGCAAAGUGAGUGUCCUACUGGUAAAUAGGUUUUACCUUUUGAGCCAUUUUAAAGAAAAACACAUUGAACAUAGCAGUUUUUGUGAAACAAGAGAAUGCAAGGGGCAGUGUGGGAGGUGACAGGCUGAUCAGGGGUCGCUGGCCUUCCCACUAAUGCAGGUAUGGGGGUCAGCAUUUAGAACAGGUGCAGCCUCAGUUGCCGUCCCUGAUCUGUUUGGAAGUCUCAGUGUGAACACAGAAAGGAUUCAUGAGGGGAAAUGGCUGUGUUCCUAAUAGUAAAGUGGUGUCAUUUUAGUGCUGUAAGUAUCUGGAAUAAAUACUGUUGUGUUAGUUAGGCAGAUGACAGCCCAGUAUAAUGCUUUUUUAAUAAUGUGACUUAAGUGAAACAAAUGAGUGUUUUACCAGAUUUUAAAGUUCUUACGUCAGUGAGUGAGUAAGUGUGCAUGCAAAGAAUUCUUUUCUUCUGGGGAAAAAAAAACAAAAACAA
rnacentral:lncRNA from 1 species